rnacentral:lncRNA from 1 species
AAUCAAACAAUUUAUUCGCAAUCAAAUCGCUAUUGUAAAACCCAAAUUUUGCCCUGGCCCAAAAUCAUUUAGCCCAAUUUUUACAAAACAGAAACCAAACCAAUCGGCCCCAACAAAAAUACCAAAACAAUAAGCAAAAUAUAGACCCUAAAUUACAAGACCCCAGCCCAAAUUCCUAAUGGCCCAAUAGAGGCCCAAAACCUAAGUUGAUUCAGAAACACUAAGGUUUCUGAAACCCUAGGAGCGUUGCCCCUAGCCUCUGCCAAAGCCUGCCACUGCCAUGUCAACACCGCCCUUUUCACAUCUCCAC